rnacentral:rRNA from 1 species
UACGAAGGGUGCAAGCGUUAAUCGGAAUUACUGGGCGUAAAGGGUGCGUAGGCGGUUUGUUAAGUCUGUCGUGAAAUCCCCGGGCUCAACCUGGGAAUGGCGAUGGAUACUGGCGAGCUAGAGUGUGUCAGAGGAUGGUGGAAUUCCCGGUGUAGCGGUGAAAUGCGUAGAGAUCGGGAGGAACAUCAGUGGCGAAGGCGGCCAUCCGGGACAAAACUGACGCUGAAGCACGAAAGCGUGGGGAGCAAACAGG